AUGGCGAAGUCUGGGUACACGCGCCCGCCGCCCGUCGCCGAGGACACAGCCGCGCUUCCCGCUCCCAGCGCCGUCCUGUACGUGGCCAACUGCGGGCCGGCGGUGGGGCUGACCCACGACGACGUCGCCGCGGCCUUCGGCGCCUUCGGGGAGGUCGAGGGGGUCAGCGCCGCCGACGACAGCGGCGCGCGCGUCAUCGUCCGGUUCCGCGAGCCCGCCGCCGCGGGGGCCGCGAUGGCCGCGCUCCACGGGCGCCCCUGCGGCCGCCUCUCCGGGCGCGUGCUGCACAUACGCUACUCGGUGCCCGCCCCGCCCAAGGCCGCCGUCGCCGUCUCCGCUCCCCCGGUGGCCCUCUCCUCGUCGGAGCUCGGCAUCCCGGGCAUUCACUUGGUCCAGGAGUUCGUCACCGCCGCCGAGGAACAGGAGCUACUUGCUGCUGUGGACAGUAGGCCGUGGAAAAGGUUGGCGAAAAGGCGAGUUCAGCAUUACGGUUAUGAGUUUCUGUAUGAAACCAGGAAUGUUGAUUCGAAGCAGUUCUUGGGUGAGUUGCCAUCUUUUGUUUCAAAAGUCCUCGACAAAAUUGUGACAUUCCCUGGUGUCAAGAAUUGUACUGGCAAACUGGUGGAUCAAUUGACGGUAAAUGAAUAUCCUUGUGGUGUAGGUUUGUCUCCACACAUAGACACACACUCAGCAUUCGAAGAAAUGAUUUUUAGUCUUUCUUUGGCUGGACCUUGCAUUAUGGAGUUCAGACAAUACCCGAAAGGCAGUUGGCGUGCUCCAAGUGUGGUCAGUGGAGCUGAUGAAGGUAGUAUCCAAGAUCCACAAUGCACGCGGAAAGCUGUAUUUCUACCUCCUAGGUCAAUGUUACUCAUGUCUGGAGAAGGCCGAUAUGCUUGGCAUCACUAUAUACCACACCAUAAGGUUGAUGACGUGGCUGGUCAAGUCAUUAAAAGAAAUUCGCGAAGGGUUUCCUUCACUUUACGAAAGGUGAGGAUGGGUCUUUGUGAAUGUGAAUAUGGGCAAUUUUGUGAUUCACAGAGCAAGUAA
rnacentral:rRNA from 1 species